rnacentral:rRNA from 1 species
UACGUAGGGGGCAAGCGUUGUUCGGAUUUACUGGGCGUAAAGGGCGCGUAGGCGGCGCGGUAAGUCACUUGUGAAAUCUCUGAGCUUAACUCAGAACGGCCAAGUGAUACUGCAGUGCUAGAGUGCAGAAGGGGCAAUCGGAAUUCUUGGUGUAGCGGAGAAAUGCGUAGAUAUCAAGAGGAACACCUGAGGUGAAGACGGGUUGCUAGGCUGACACUGACGCUGAGGCGCGAAAGCCAGGGGAGCAAACGGG